GGCGGCUAUUGCGGAGAGGCCACACCUGUUCCCUUCUCGAACACAGUAGUUAAGCUCUCCCGCGCCGAUGAUACUCGGUGGGCGACUGCCCGGAAAAGCAGGUCGCCGCCGGCU
rnacentral:rRNA from 1 species